GCCCGUGUGGUGAAACUGGUAAACACGUUGGAUUCAAAAUCCAAUGACCUAGGUCUUGUCGGUUCGAGUCCGACCACGGGUACCA
rnacentral:tRNA from 1 species